rnacentral:sRNA from 1 species
CUCAUCAUGCCAAGCCAACAGAAGAAAAUCAUUUUUUGCAUGGCUGGAGUGUUAAGUUUUGCAUGUGCCCUCGGAGUUGUGACAGCCUUGGGGACACCAUUGUGGAUCAAAGCCACUAUCCUCUGCAAAACGGGAGCUCUGCUCGUCAAUGCCUCAGGGCAGGAGCUGGACAAGUUUAUGGGUGAAAUGCAGUAUGGGCUUUUCCACGGAGAGGGUGUGAGGCAGUGUGGGUUAGGAGCAAGGCCCUUUCGGUUCUCAUUUUUUCCAGAUUUGCUCAAAGCAAUCCCAGUGAGCAUCCACGUCAAUGUCAUUCUCUUCUCUGCCAUCCUUAUUGUGUUAACCAUGUUGGGGACAGCCUUCUUCAUGUACAAUGCUUUUGGAAAACCCUUUGAAACUCUGCAUGGUCCCCUAGGGUUGUACCUUUUGAGCUUCAUUUCAGGUAAGUACAAAAUUCUACCUCUGAAGACAAAUGUGCUUUUCAAUAUGCCAAAAAAAUGGUCUAUCUAAAUAUAAAGUUAUAAUCUUAACAUAUAUACAUGGAUGCACACUGUAGUAUUAUAUAUAAUAACAAAAAGUGUGGAAAUACCACACUUGCUCAACAGUAGG